CCUACGUGAGGCAGCAGUGGGGAAUAUUGCGCAAUGGGCGAAAGCCUGACGCAGCGACGCCGCAUGAGGGAUGAAGGUCUUCGGAUCGUAAACCUCUGUCAGCAGGGAAGAACGGUCACUGUGCUAAUCAGCAGUGAAUUGACGGUACCUGCAAAGGAAGCACCGGCUAACUCCGUGCCAGCAGCCGCGGUAAUACGGAGGGGGCGAGCGUUAAUCGGAAUUACUGGGCGUAAAGCGCUCGUAGGCGGUAUGUCAAGUCAAGGGUGAAAUCCCCGCGCUCAACGUGGGAACUGCCUUUGAAACUGGCAAACUGGAGUGUGUGAGAGGAUAGUGGAAUUCCAGGUGUAGGAGUGAAAUCCGUAGAUAUCUGGAGGAACAUCAGUGGCGAAGGCGACUAUCUGGCACAUAACUGACGCUGAGGAGCGAAAGCGUGGGUAGCAAACAGGAUUAGAUACCCCAGUAGUC
rnacentral:rRNA from 1 species